rnacentral:rRNA from 1 species
CCUACGGGAGGCAGCAGUGAGGAAUAUUGGACAAUGGUCGAAAGACUGAUCCAGCCAUGCCGCGUGCAGGAAGACGGCCCUAUGGGUUGUAAACUGCUUUUGUUUGGGAAGAAACCUUUCUACGUGUAGAAAGCUGACGGUACCAUACGAAUAAGCACCGGCUAACUCCGUGCCAGCAGCCGCGGUAAUACGGAGGGUGCAAGCGUUAUCCGGAUUUAUUGGGUUUAAAGGGUCCGUAGGCGGACUUAUAAGUCAGUGGUGAAAUCCUGCAGCUCAACUGUAGAACUGCUAUUGAUACUGUAAGUCUUGAAUUCGGUUGAAGUGGGCGGAAUAUGGCAUGUAGCGGUGAAAUGCUUAGAUAUGCCAUAGAACACCGAUUGCGUAGGCAGCUCACUAAGCCUGGAUUGACGCUGAGGGACGAAAGCGUGGGUAGCGAACAGGAUUAGAUACCCUGGUAGUCCACGCCGUAAACGAUGAUUACUCGACAUUAGCGAUACUACGGUUAGUGUCUAUAAGACGAAGACGAUUAAAGUUAAAGUACCGACCGUACGGGGUAAGGUUACGGUUCGUUCGAAGUAAGUUAGUUAAACGUAACAAAGUUAGUUAGUUAGGUUACGGGACGUUGGAGGACGUUACGCCGAACGGACGACCGACCGAGGGGAGGUUAGGGAG